GCGGCCUGCAGGUGAGACCUCACCUUAGAAACGCAGCGGCCUGCAGGUGAGACCCCACCUGUGAAGGGGAGCGGCCUGCAGGUGAGACCCCACCUGUGAAGGGGAGCGGCCUGCAGGUGAGACCUCACCUUAGAAACGCAGCGGCCUGCAGGUGAGACCCCACCUGUGAAGGGGAGCGGCCUGCAGGUGAGACCCCACCUGUGAAGGGGAGCGGCCUGCAGGUGAGACCUCACCUUAGAAACGCAGCGGCCUGCAGGUGAGACCCCACCU